rnacentral:rRNA from 1 species
GAUGAACGCUGGCGGCGUGCUUAACACAUGCAAGUCGAACGGAAAGGCUCCUGCUUGCAGGGGUACUCGAGUGGCGAACGGGUGAGUAACACGUGGGUGAUCUGCCCUGCACUUCGGGAUAAGCCUGGGAAACUGGGUCUAAUACCGGAUAGGACGAUGGUUUGGAUGCCAUUGUGGAAAGUUUUUCGGUGUGGGAUGAGCUCGCGGCCUAUCAGCUUGUUGGUGGGGUAAUGGCCUACCAAGGCGUCGACGGGUAGCCGGCCUGAGAGGGUGUACGGCCACAUUGGGACUGAGAGACGGCCCAGACUCCUACGGGAGGCAGCAGUGGGGAAUAUUGCACAAUGGGCGCAAGCCUGAUGCAGCGACGCCGCGUGGGGGAUGACGGCCUUCGGGUUGUAAACUCCUGUCGCUAGGGACGAAGCGCAAGUGACGGUACCUGGAGAAGAAGCACCGGCUAACUACGUG